rnacentral:ncRNA from 1 species
CAAAUGACAUCGAAAAGAAGAGUAGCCGUUAGGUGUUUUUAGAGAGUCUCUGGUUGGUGGAAAGAGGCAGCAGUUAACCGUGAAACACAUCUUGGAGUCGAUUUUCUGAAGCGUAUAGUAGGAAAAUCCGGGGAGCCCGUUACAGCUGCGGUCGUUGCUAGAUGACCAGAUAAGGCUGGCUUUUCCGUGAGGAGUCGGUAAAAAAAGGUGGAACCACGUGAUUAACGUCCUUUGA